rnacentral:rRNA from 1 species
AUUGAACGCUGGCGGCAUGCUUUACACAUGCAAGUCGAACGGUAACAGGCCGCAAGGUGCUGACGAGUGGCGAACGGGUGAGUAAUGCAUCGGAACGUGCCCAGUCGUGGGGGAUAACGCAGCGAAAGCUGUGCUAAUACCGCAUACGAUCUAUGGAUGAAGGCGGGGGACCGUAAGGCCUCGCGCGAUUGGAGCGGCCGAUGUCAGAUUAGGUAGUUGGUGGGGUAAAGGCCUACCAAGCCGACGAUCUUUAGCUGGUCUGAGAGGACGACCAGCCACACUGGGACUGAGACACGGCCCAGACUCCUACGGGAGGCAGCAGUGGGGAAUUUUGGACAAUGGGCGCAAGCCUGAUCCAGCAAUGCCGCGUGCAGGAAGAAGGCCUUCGGGUUGUAAACUGCUUUUGUACGGAACGAAACGGCCUGGGUUAAUACUCUGGAUAGUGGACGUUACUCGCAGAAUAAGCACCGGCUAACUCUGUGCCAGCAGCCGCGGUAACAC